UAACACAUGCAAGUCGAACGGAGUCAAGAGGAGCUUGCUUUUCUUGACUUAGUGGCGAACGGGUGAGUAACGCGUGAGUAACCUGCCCUGGAGUGGGGGACAACAGUUGGAAACGACUGCUAAUACCGCAUAAGCCCACGGAUCCGCAUGGAUCUGCGGGAAAAGGAUUUAUUCGCUUCAGGAUGGACUCGCGUCCAAUUAGCUAGUUGGUGAGGUAACGGCCCACCAAGGCGACGAUUGGUAGCCGGACUGAGAGGUUGAACGGCCACAUUGGGACUGAGACACGGCCCAGACUCCUACGGGAGGCAGCAGUGGGGGAUAUUGCACAAUGGGGGAAACCCUGAUGCAGCGACGCCGCGUGGAGGAAGAAGGUUUUCGGAUUGUAAACUCCUGUCGUUAGGGACGAUAAUGACGGUACCUAACAAGAAAGCACCGGCUAACUACGUGCCAGCAGCCGCGGUAGAACGUAGGGUGCAAGCGUUGUCCGGAAUUACUGGGUGUAAAGGGAGCGCAGGCGGACCGGCAAGUUGGAAGUGAAAACUAUGGGCUCAACCCAUAAAUUGCUUUCAAAACUGCUGGCCUUGAGUAGUGCAGAGGUAGGUGGAAUUCCCGGUGUAGCGGUGGAAUGCGUAGAUAUCGGGAGGAACACCAGUGGCGAAGGCGACCUACUGGGCACCAACUGACGCUGAGGCUCGAAAGCAUGGGUAGCAAACAG
rnacentral:rRNA from 1 species